CUAGUUUGGGGCUCUUCGGAGCACCGGCAGACAGCUCCGUAACACGUCGAUAAUCUACCCUUAGGUCGGGGAUAACUUCGGGAAACUGAGGCUAAUACCUGAUAGAAGAAAAAUACUGGAAUGUGUUUUCUUCUAAAAUCACUGCCCAAGGAUGAGUCGGCGCCCGAUUAGGUCGUUGGUGGGGUAAUGGCCCACCAAGCCGAAGAUCGGUAGGGGCCUUGAGAGAGGCAGCCUCGAGGAGGACACUGAGAUAAGGGUCCUGACUCUACGGAGUAUAGCAAAAAAACUUUACAAUACACGAAAGAGUGAUAAGGGAAUUCUGAGUGCCUAUGUAUUGCAUAGGCUUUUGCCAAGAGUAAAUAUCUUGGAGAAUAAGUGGUGGGCAAGACUGGUGCCAGCAGCCGCGGUAACACCAGCGCCACAAGUGGGGAUCACUAUUAUUGGGCCUAAAGCGUUCGUAGCCGGUUGAGUGAAUCUUUUGUGAAAUCGUUAGGCUUAACCUAACGGCGUGCAGAAGACACUGCUCAACUUGGGACCGGGAGGAGUCAGAGGUAUUUGAGGGGUAGCGGUAAAAUGCAAUAACCCCUUGAGGACCACCAGUGGCGAAGGCGUCUGACUAGAACGGGUCUGACGGUGAGGAACGAAAGCCAAGGGAGCGAACCGGAUUAGAUACCCGAGUAGUCUUGGCUGUAAACGCUGCGAGCUAGGUGUUGCAUAUUCUACAGGAAUAUGCAGUGUCGUAGUGAAGAUGUUAAGCUCGCCGCCUGGGAAGUACGGUCGCAAGACUGAAACUUAAAGGAAUUGGCGGGGGAGCACAACAAGGGGUGCGGCGUGCGGUUUAAUCCAACUCAACGCGGAGAAUCUCACCAGAGGCGACGGCAGGAUGAAGGUCAGGUUGAAGACUUUACCCAACAAGCCGAGAGGUGGUGCAUGGCCGUCGUCAGCUCGUGCCGUGAGGUGUCCUGUUAAGUCAGGCAACGAGCGAGACCUGUACUUACAAUUGCCAACUGCUCAUUUAUGAGGACAGGGCACAAUGUAAGGACUGCCUUGGUAACAAGGAGGAAGGUGCAGGCAACGGUAGGUCUGUAUGCCCCGAAUCCUCUGGGCUACACGCGCGCAACAAUGGUAAGGACAAUGGGAUGCAACUCCGAAAGGAGAAGCUAAACCUCUAAACCUUAUCCCAGUCCAGAUUGAGGGCUGUAACUCGUCCUCAUGACGUUGGAAUCCCUAGUAACCGGACUUUAGCAUAGUCCGGUGAAUAUGUCCCUGCUCCUUGCACACACCGCCCGUCAAGCCAACCGAGCAGGGUUUAGGUAAAACUUAGUUCAUUAAUUAAGUUGAAUCUAAGCUCAGUGAGGUGGGCUAAGUCGUCACAAGGUA
rnacentral:rRNA from 1 species